UACAUGUUAAUGUAUAAGCAUAAGAGGUUUUGAUCCUCUAAGUUUUGGUGUAACUCCAUUACAUGUAA
rnacentral:tRNA from 1 species